GACGAACGCUGGCGGCGUGCUUAACACAUGCAAGUCGAACGGAAAGGCCUGCUUUCCCUUGUGGAUUGCGGGUACUCGAGUGGCGAACGGGUGAGUAACACGUGAGUGAUCUGCCCCCAACUUGGGUAUAAGCCUGGGAAACUGGGUCUAAUUCCCGAUAGGACUGCAGGGUGGUGCCUGUGGUGGAAAACGAUUUUCUAGUGGUUGGGGAUGAGCUCGCGGCCUAUCAGCUUGUUGGUGGGGUAAUGGCCUACCAAGGCGGCGGCGGGUAGCCGGCCUGAGAGGGUGGACGGCCACAUUGGGACUGAGGUACGGCCCAGACUCCUACGGGAGGCAGCAGUGGGGAAUAUUGCACAAUGGGCGGAAGCCUGAUGCAGCGACGCCGCGUGGGGGAUGACGGCCUUCGGGUUGUAAACUCCUUUCGACCGCGAGGAAGCCACCUGGUUGGAAGGGUGGUGACGGUAGUGGUAGAAGAAGCACCGGCUAACUACGUG
rnacentral:rRNA from 1 species